GCUGCCGUCCGGCUUGUCGCUGGCUCAUUCCUGCACCUUGGCGUGGGGUGGGCGAGAGGAAAGUCCGGGCAACACAGGACAUCCCGCUUCCUAACGGGAAGAAGGUCGUGAGGCUUAGUCAGUGCAGAAGAAAAUAACCGCCCUUUUUUUAAUUCAUAAUGCAUAAUUCAUAAUUCGUAAUUUAUGCAGGUUGUAUUUGCUGAAGGCAGAUGUGAUAGGCAAGAUUGUGAAUUCGGCAUUGUGAAUUAUGAAUUGAGACAAGGGUAAGGGUGAGAAGGUGAGGUAAGAGCUCACCAGGCGUGUGGCGACAUACGUGCUGUGCACUCCGGGAGUUGAAAGUUCGCGUAUACCGGCGUUACUAGGGCUGUCCGUCCGAGCCGGAGGGUAGAACGAUAAGGUGUCUGGCAACGGGCAUCGGGAUGCGGAUGGUGACAUCCGUACUGGAUAAAUGACAAGCACCCCAUCUAGGUGGAGUACAGAACCCGGCUUACAGGAUGGCAGCAUUU
rnacentral:RNase_P_RNA from 1 species